UACGAAGGGGGCUAGCGUUGUUCGGAAUCACUGGGCGUAAAGGGCGCGUAGGCGGCCAUAUAGGUCGGGGGUGAAAGCCUGUGGCUCAACCACAGAAUUGCCUUCGAUACUGUAUGGCUCGAGACCGGAAGAGGUAAGUGGAACUGCGAGUGUAGAGGUGAAAUUCGUAGAUAUUCGCAAGAACACCAGUGGCGAAGGCGGCUUACUGGUCCGGUUCUGACGCUGAGGCGCGAAAGCGUGGGGAGCAAACAGG
rnacentral:rRNA from 1 species